rnacentral:rRNA from 1 species
CAGCCGCCGCGGUAAUACGUAGGUGGCAAGCGUUGUCCGGAAUUAUUGGGCGUAAAGGGCUCGCAGGCGGUUUCUUAAGUCUGAUGUGAAAGCCCCCGGCUCAACCGGGGAGGGUCAUUGGAAACUGGGAAACUUGAGUGCAGAAGAGGAGAGUGGAAUUCCACGUGUAGCGGUGAAAUGCGUAGAGAUGUGGAGGAACAUCAGUGGCGAAGGCGACUCUCUGGUCUGUAACUGACGCUGAGGAGCGAAAGCGUGGGGAGCGAACAGGAUUAGAUACCCCCGUAGUCCCUGUCUCUUAUAC